ensembl:lncRNA
GUCACGUACACUGAGGAAACUUUACGGGUCACUGGGAAGCAAAUCUAUUCGCACCAGUGUGUAUCAUCAAAUAAGACUUUGAAGUCCAUGAUCGGUAAGUAUAUUCACAAGGAGGAACGUAAUUCGGAUAAAUGGCUUAAUCCUCUGUUGUUUGCAGUGGGGGAGGUUCCCUAGGCGUCCACAGAAUAUUUUCUUUUGAUCUGUUGUUUGGCAGGAAAUGACAGGGGUGCUCAACCUGAUAAAGAAAACGUCUUAGACCUGGAAGCAAAACGCCAUGCAAUGUUUAGAAGAGGGUUCAGGCUGAGACAAUUCACAACUGAAGAAAACUUCUUUUCCGUCCUUCUUCCAGUUUUUAACUCUUCGCCAAGUGGCAAGGGCCCUUUGUUUGUCACACGGUGUUUGGGAGACGUCAACUAUGCGUUGGGACAGGGGCUGGGCUACGCAUCUCAACCUCAAGAGCGGUGCUGGGGCCCGAGGUUUCAAAUUAAUCAAUUGGAUUGACCUUGCCCCUUUGUGAAGCCCAUCUCUCCGGAGCCCAGAGAACCGAAGAUGCCUCGAAGAACAAUGUCCGGACAUUUUCCCCCCCUGGCGAGACGCACAAACAACAUAGAGCACUAAAUUGAGACUUUUCCAAGUGUAUAGUACAAGUUGGCUGCUGUGCUGGAGAUGGGGUAAUAGAGUCAAAAAGUGCUUGGUAUAGCCCCAUUAUUCUUGUUGUUAAGAAGGGUGGAUCUAUUGGGUUUUGUGUGGACAAUCGCAGGGUGAAUGAUGUGUCAGGAUUUGAUGCGUAUCUAAUGCUCCGGGUUGAUGAUCUCCUGGACCGACUAGGUGUCAGGAAGGCGGGGAAGACAGGACUCAAACGCAGAGUUUCCAGAAACAAGACUUUAAUAGUCAAACUUCUAAAUCAAAAGGCCAAGGGUAAAAAACGUAGACAGGAACCCUCAGAUAUGGACUUCCGGACAUUCAACAAUGAACAAUGACGCCACAAGUGACAAGAGACACACAUAGCUUAUAUAUACUAGGGAGGUGCAGGUGAUUGGACACAGGUGGAAGCAAUUAGACAAUCACAGGGGAUGAUAGGACAAGGCAGGAAGUGAAGUUACCCAGGGACACAAGAGGCAGAAAACAACAAAAUAAGACCGGAAACAAACCCAAACCGUGACACUAGGCACUGCACGUUUCUUUACGACACUGGAUUCAACCAAGGGCUACUGGCAUAUUCCUCUUUCAUCAAAGUUACGUAAAUGACCUUCUCCAUUCCGUGCUUUCUAUACGAAUUCACCACUGUUCCUUUUGGGUUGUUUCCGUGCUCCAGCUACUUUCCAACGCCUCUUGGACAGAAUGCCGCGUCCACACACUGCUAAUGCGGCCGUCUACUUGGCGGAGGGAUCAUCCACAGCAGCACCUGGGCGGAGCAUGUGCAGCAGGUGGGUGCAAUGGUGGAGUCCUUAAGGCAGACACGGCUCACCGCCAACCCAUGUCACAGUUAGACGGAUCGAGGUACGGUAUGUGGGGUACCACUGGGGUAGCUGGCAGAUGCGCACUUAGGUGGACAAGACUGCACCUCUUCCAAACACCUAACUAACUCUCUUCCAUUUACUCUGCAGAUGCAUCAAACACAGGGCAGAGGGCCGUUUUGUCCCAGUAGAUGCGGGGAGUGGACCGCCUCACUGCAUGAAAAGUGGGAUUUUCGGCAGUAUGCGGCACUGUAAAUUGUCAGAAAUUGAUGUGUGCCUCCCUUGGCAGUUGUCCCCCCAUGUCCCCCCUCCUCCUAAUUCUAGGGGAGGCUUUGACAUGUAAAUGAAAAUGCUGUGAGCUAUACAAAGGCAAAUCAGGGUCGCAGAGGGAGUUUUAGCCCAGGUGACAUUUUUUUAAAAGGUAAGAAAAUCUCUGGUACAAAUAGAUCAGGCUCAGUAGCCUAAUUAUAGACUCUUACAUUUGAGCUUGAAUUGAUUUAUUUAAUUCAAAUAUGCUAGAUUACUGUGUACGCCAUUAGCAAUGGCAAAUGUUAUGUAAAAAAGAUACACAAAAUAACUUCUUUAAAAGAUGAGUUUUAAUCAAGGUAUAAUGAGCAUUUCAUGCAAACAACAUUUGAAUCAGAAUGAGGGGUCUGCAGAGAUCACAGUCUCCUAGAGCUCAACUACAGUGCAUAGUGGCAGGACUACAGUGACCUUUUCUUUGGUCUUACUUAAAUGCACAGAGGAUGUAUUAACCACACAUCUUCUAGCAAUGCGCUCAACUGGCAGAAAUGAUGCUGGGUAUGACGUAUCUGUUCCCUGCAACUUUAUUAAAGUGUGUUUUCUUUGCCGUGUCGUUUACAGGAAGCGGUGCGCCGUCUUCACAACUCCGAGACGAAUUACAGGCGCUACGAACCGUAGCAAGGGUCAGAUUUAAAGAAUAUGCUUUCAUUCUGCGGUAUAAGGGAAUAUAUACGUAUAGAUACCGAUCAUAACUGUACAUUUUGUUUUCACAGACUAAUCUCGCCUCAUAAUGAGGCGGUGACCUCGUAUUUGCUCCGGGAAAAGUCCAGAUUUAGACGACGUCAUUGUGUGUAAGUGACACUGUUUACUGUUUCUCCUUCCUUGUUAAAUGUUACUGUGACUUGAUUUUGAUUUUUUUUGAUUUUGUAUUCAUACCACACUCAUUUAAUUGUUUUCCAGCUCCCUGUGAGACGUAUUGUGAGACGGGACGCAGGAGCUUCAGGUUUAGCCGGAACACUCAAUGCGGGCGGAAGCUGCGAAGGAUUCAGCGCGGAGUCGAGCGAGAAGAAAGACGGUCAGAGUUUAUUUGCUGACUUUUUUCAGGUGCAUUGAUCGAUGUGUUGUGUCCAUACGCAUCGCAUCGCACAGUACUGAUUCAUUGUCGUUUUUACAGCUGCUGGAAUCGAGACAAAGUGUGCUGGCGGAUGACGAGGUGAAACUCUGGAAAUCCGCCACCGUAGAGCUCACGUCGGACGGAGGGGACGGCGUUGUUGGCGGGGUCUCGGGUGGAUUGUACGGUCGCCACACGCACACGAGCCGCCUGCACAACAGACCUGCCUCGGAAAACACGGCGCCAGUGACGGUCUACAACCCCGAGGAGGCAAACGGACAGUUUACUGAGCUGUAGUUUUUAAACCGCCGUUACCCAAGUGUGGGCAGAUCCUCACUUUGUAUGUAGUUGUUGUUUGUGUGUUGUUAAUAAAGCUCUUUCUUUGCAUAAACAUGUGGCAAAUGUUCAUUUUCUCUAUAAAUUCAUUGAUGUCCUGGUUGGUAUCCUAAUAAUAGUGUAGUAGCCUGCAUAUGAUAACAAUGAAAUGAACAUACACCAUAAUAUGAAUAUAUAAAUAUAUUUAAAUGAAAUGAGGCGGGUGACCAAUAGCGACAGAUCUGCCAACCAAUCAAUAAAUUAGGGAGAUUUCCGGGCGUUUACGGGGACGAAAAUCUCACUUUUCAUGCAGUGCCUUGUACAAUGCUCCAAUGGCUCGAUGAAGGACACCAAAGCCUGGAUUACUCGGUGGUUCCCAGUGUUACACCCCCUUCAUUUCAAAGUGGUCUACGUGGCUGACUUCCUUUCCCGCUCUCAAAGGAGGAGAUUGGACCGGAUGGCUCCCCUGGCUAAGUAGGGCGGUGGGGGUAUGUGGUGGCGGGGUGUGGUUUGGCUUAGCUGUAGAGGGGAUGUGAAGUGAGGAAUGUGUUUAAAUAAUAGAAAGGAGGGCUUUUUACCUAUUCCAAGUUACCUAUAAGUUUUUCUUAUGGUGUAUUCACACCAUAUUUUCGCCGGGCUUUACUUGUGCAAGUUUACUCGCGCGAGUGAUCGGAGCGGCAGAUUGCGUUAGGCUGCGCUGGUAGGCGCAUUGCAUUAUGGGACAAUCUUUACUUGUAUUUGAAUCCCUAUCUGUUAUGUUCAUGUUCUAGUGUUUAAGUUUACGUGUGUUUUUCUAGGUUCUGUUGUGUUGUGCUCAAAUGUUACUGUUAGUUUAAUGUGUAAGAGUGUGGGCACCAUGACCCAACUUGACUUGCGUGACUUGCGGUGUACGAAACACAGGAAAGGCAGUGAAGUACUUUAAGUCUCCUGUCUCAUUCAUCUGGCCAAGUUCGCCACAUUGGUGUCAGAAGUGGGAUAUAGCUACUAGAAUGCAGUUGGAGAGGGAGUUGGUGGUUGAAAAGCUGGAGAGGGCCCUAGAGCAGAUUCAGAGCCACUUGAGAGGCCUGAUGCGGCAAAAGAUGGAGUCUAAUGAGGAUGGACAACGCCUAACUCUCCCUGAUGGCUGCAGUACCAGACGGCUACACCAGCAGGGGAACGUCUCAAGGCCUCACCCACCACUGAUGGCUACGGAAGACCCUCGACUGACCAGGACGGCUACUACCAGCGAGGGCCUGCUACCUACCAACACCCCUGACCAGCUACGGGUCUUCACACCUGGCCUACAAGGCUCCUCAAUCAAGCCAAGGACAUCAGUCAAACUACCCAAAUACGAUGGGACGACACAGCUGGAGCCAUAUUUGUCACAAGUCCAUCUAGCAGCCCAACACAGCGGCUGGGACAGCGAAGAGUCUGCCACCCUUCUAGCCCUAGCAUUAGAAGGCAAGGCGGUGCAGGUGCAUCAUGACCUAGCUCCAGCGGAACAAGGGAACCUACAGGUCCUAACAAUGGCGUUAAAGAGGAGAUUUGGACAGCGGCCCCUUGUUGACCAGAGCAGGGAGGAACUAGCACUUCCAAGCAGCGGCGCAAGAAGAACUAACCCUCCACGCUUUCCUGAGAGGACUUGCACCUGAGCAGUUGUGUCAGCAUGUCGCUCUCGUCAGAGCCCAGACCCUCGGUGAUGCACUCCACGAGGCUGAACGAGCAGAGGGAGUACUCACCGCAUGGCCCAGCCAGAAAAGAACUCUCCACCAACAGCCAUGUGUCAGGCUUACCAAUCAUGACCAGGAAGAAGAAGCAGAAGACGUCCGUCAGGUGAGGCCUCCACCACAACGGAUGCAGCCCUGGCCUCCAGCAUCCGGGCGGCGUCCCCCAGCCUACUGACCACUGCUAUCGUUGUGACGAACCGGGUCACAUAAUCAGAAAUUUCCCACCCCCAACUCCAAAACCCAGAGCCACUCCACCAGCGAGAAACGACAGAGGAAUGGUGUAGCAAGGUGUGCACCAUUCCGGCCUCCAGUCCCCCUCCAUGGCCGAUGCACUUUAGUCGGCCGCCUCAGACACACUGAAGGGCUGUACCUGAACUGGGGCCCAGGAACUGGUGCACACUUUCUGGCUUGCUGACAUUCGGGACGCAUGUAUCAUCGGCUUGGACCUGCUGACUCGCUGGUGUGCCUGUGUCAACGUGUUAGGAGCAACCAUCACCCUUGGCACAGAGAUUGUGGAGCUCUAGUCCGGUAGGGCCGCACCACCACCCAUGCCGUCCGUCGCCAGUGGCCCUGCACAUCCACAUGCCACCUUGGCGGCCUCCAUUGCACCAGCUGUCUCUUCCUCUAGUGAGACGGUAGAACGGCGUCUGUGACGCAGUUAUUGUUUCCACCAUGGCAAUAAAUAACUCCAAUUUCUGCUCUCUAUUUGUUGUGUGAAUUACACAAACAUCGGAACCGCAAACGGUGUUGUGUUCGGGUUCAUGACAUCAUCCGUCGCCGCAUCUCGUCGUCUGCUUCCAGUAAGCUUGCCAGCAAUUCCUAGUGUGUUCGGUAACCUACAAGGUGGAUUUUGAAGUGCAGAUCCCCUAUUUGCAUGUCAGCAAAAUCUAAGAAAUGCUAAAUGUCCAAUGAAUUAACCAGUUGCACUGAGGCAGGCUCUUUUUGCAUUAUAAAAAUAACAAACUACUUUGUCUAUGUGGACAAUUUUUUGUGGGGUUAACGCAGAGCCCUUGUGAGUUCAUAUGCGGAAAUAUUGAGAUAUCAGCAAGUUUUUGCCACACUUUACUCGCCCAACUAGUUGUUGUUAAUUUGUCUUCAUUCAUUUGCAAUAGCCAUGUCAGGUUUUAUUUUAAAUAUGAUUUUGGUGCUACAUCAUAUUAAAAAAGGCUGGACAUCAAUAUGUCUAUGCAUCCCAAGUAAGUAAGUAGUGAUGUAAUCAGUACUGUUGUGAUAAAACAGUUUUAGAUCAUGUUUCCAAAUGUUGGAUUCCAAAGCCUUCUCACACUGAUUGUCCUCCGUUUGUCUUCAUUAAAUCAGUUUCAAGUGAUGCAUCUUAGCCGAUAUAUAUUUUUAAUGGAUGCCAUGUUUUCAUGCAUCAUUUUUUCAAAGCAAAUGAGGGCGGUUGGGCCUUUUACCAUAAACCGCCUAUAUGACACUACAUAUAUACAUAUAUUAGGAUAAAGGACAAGAUCAGUGAGCAAACCAAAACCAGAUCCAUUAAUUGCUUCUCCACUUCUACUCCUGACCCCUGGGGAGUGUGUGACACGGGAGUGGCGGGUUGAAAUGUCCCCUUCAUUAAGCCGAUGCAGAAUCAAUCCUCUGAAGAGGUCGCACAGCGGCUAAUCAUACAGCAGAGUUGGGUACGUGUGGAGAAGACACAGGCAUAGUUUGUCUUCCUAAAAAACAUUUUGCUGUAAUAGAAAUGAGAAUCGAUUCUGACUAAAUCUUUCUGGUAGAGUAUAUAUCGGUGUGCGAUAAAACGACUGUUUUUUCAUUAGGUAAUUUUAGGAAUUUCUAGUAAAGCGACUCCCAUUAAUACCAUUUCGUUUAUGUUUAGUUAAAUUGAGGUUCAAGUAUCAAUUCAGACUGAACUUGAUCUUGAAACACUUUUUCUAGUUGUGUGUAUUACCAAUACCAGCCAUAACGCCUAUUAUUUAAAUGGAUUUUCACUGCCAUUCAGUACUGUCUGUACUAUGUGCCAAAAUAAGGUGAAUCCAAUCAUUGACAGUGCAGUCAUUAGGUGAUGAGGGCCUGAUGAAUAGUGUCAACUGGGUGUCUUGUUUGAUUAUCUGGGAGGGAUCCCAGAGGCUUGGCUCUCUUCUAUGACUUUUGUGUGGUGUAUUGCUUGAAAUACAGUUUUUCCAAUUUGUUUUGCAUGUAUGUUGUGGCCCCCUAAGAGUGGAGGACUUUGUCUAGGAGACAUGGUAAGUAAAAAGGGGGGAAGAGGAGGAAAUACAAUUUGUAUAAGAGACUAAAAAACUGUUAUGAUUUAUUCCUUCUAAGGUGGUAUGAUUUUCUUUUCUCAGAAUUCCUGGUGUAGGUAUUCAGUGUUUUGGACUGUUGUAUAUAAAAUAUAACUGCGUACAAGAAUACUAAAGAAGGAAUAAAUUAAAAAAGUAAGUAAAGUCAUGUGCUUCCAAUCAUUCAUUUAGUCAGAGUGUCAACUCAAUAAGCUAAUUGUCCCAAAAAUUGAAAUAAAAAUAACACUGGAUUAUAUUUGAGCACAGCUCAGAAAUGGCAAACUCCGCCAAUCACUAUAAACGCUGUUAUAUAGAGAAGGCAUUGCGGAAAGUAUCAAUAUUGAAUGGUUCUAGCUGAGACAAUGCAGACAGAAUAGUAACGAGAACUGUAUUUGACACUUUCUAAAGACCUGUCGGCCAUGUGGAGCCCCAAAAAUGUGAUGUUUCAUUCUAGAACAUGAAACAAUGAUUGAAUAACAAAAAUGAUUAAUUAUAUUAAUUCAAGCAAGUCAAAACUAAGCAACUCUUUUCACUGUAUUGUAUCAAUACCGCCUUUUAAACAAAAACCGAAGCUUGCUUCCUUAGCGUCGACCACACUUGGAACACAACACAACAAAACUCAUUGACGAGGGAGAUCAAGGCAGCUGAGAGGAGCUACGUGAGGAAGUUGGAAAACAGGAUAUUUAGCCAACAACCCCUCGUCAGUGUGGAGGCCUGCAGGUUCAUUACAUGUCAUUUAGCUGAUGCUUUUAUCCAAAGCAACUUACAAUAAGUGCAUUCAACCAUGUACAGAUACAAACUCAGAAGGGUUUAGGUAGGUUUAGGGAGUAGGUACUCACUAGCUAUAAGAGACCCCCCACUGUUGAGAAUCACAAACUGACAACCUGAUUUUUACUGCAGGUUUGAUCAUCCCACUUUCUCACCCCCCACUGCCUAGACAACAUCAAAUUACUUCCUGCAUCCUUGUCUCCAUCUCCCAACCAGCCCCCCACUGGCACUAAAGAUCUGCGAAGAGGAUGUGAGUCAGCUCUUUUACAGACUGAAGACCAGGAAGGCUCCCGGCCGAGACGCUGUCUUGCCGUCCUGCCUGAAGGUCUGUGCUGACCAGUUGGCCCCCAUCUCCACGCUGAUCCACAUCCGAGCUGUUUGAAGUCCCCUGUUUCUUCAAAUGCUCCAUUAACAUCCCGGUUCCCAAGAAAUGCUCCAUCACAGGAUUAAUUGACUAUAUGGGCCUGUUGAUCGCAGUGGUCACAAAAUCCUUUUGAGAAGCUGGUGUUGACCCACCUGAACAUCAUCACAUGGCCUCUGCUGGACUCCUUGCAGGAGCAAAUAGUUUGCUGGAUUUUGCGGUCGCAUGGGAUUGCAUGCUGCAACACCUCAACACCCCAUAUGUCCAUAUGCAAGGGUUCUGUAUGUAGACUUCAGCUCGUUAUUCAACCCAAUCACUCUGGGUACUUGAACCCUAACUCCCUCAGCUCACAGUGCCAGCCUCCUCCUGAUUACUAACUUCCUGACAGAACGCAAACGACCCUUCUCCCUUUGCAACUGUGAAACGCCUACAUUCUCACCUAAUUUUUACUUUCGUGUCCUUUGUACAUAGUUUCUUUAUAAGAAACAUAUAAAAGACUGUAAAGGAACAAUUCUAUGUAUGCGUAAGCACUAUGCCUGACAGAAUUCUAAAGCUUUCUAGUUUAUGUACAGUGAAAUGUGUAGAAUUGCACACUUGAGCCCAGACCCCAACUGAGUCAACAGAGGGCUUUAGGCAGUGUUUAACCACUUUCAACCACAUCUGCCUGGCAACGUACAACAGUUGUGUUUGUGUGUACGAGAGUUUUUUGCAGUUUUUUCUUUUCUUCCCUUCCCCAAGAGAAUAAGUUGUUGACUCAUGUUAACCGUGGGUGUACAUAUAACAGUCUUUGGACAAAUGUGUACAUUAUAUUUUCUCUUUUGGGCCUUGUUGGAUUUGUAUUUGGAACAUUUUAAAACUGAAAAGUUGACGUUUUAGCAAAGAAUGUUUUGUUUUUCUUUUCCUAUUUCAUUUGAUCUUUCUCUGCCCAGCCAUAUUGUAAAGAACAUAGAUUUGUUAAAGUAGAGCCUUUUAUAAAGGUACUGCAUAGCAUCAAUACGUUAUUCAAAAGGCAUAGGAGACCUUCCAGAUGAAUUAUUCAUAUAGCAUUAUUAUCCAAGUCAUUCACAUGUGUCCAUGCUGUUAAUAUAAACGUAGGACAGGUGGAUAGGAUCUUUCUUACUCUGCUUAUCUGCCUUUCUUGCAUCUCUGUCAAGAAUCUCUUUUCUCCUCUCUUCUGUAUUACGUUACUAUCAUGUAUCAUUUUUCUCCUUGUGUUUGUAUGUGUUCAGUAGAGUCUUGACGUAUGGUUCAGGGUUGUUUGUUUCACAUCAGGAAUACAAAUAUCCUCCUUGGAUAGUGCAGGUCUCAUCAAACCAUGUUCAAGCUUUAGUAUUGUCGCCUGCAAUUAUUGAUUUCCUGCCAGGUGCCAGGAGAGCUGAUCUGCAGCUCAUCUUGUACAAUGCAAUUUUCAGAUGGAGUGGAAAGCACUAGCUUUUAAGGAUUGUAUAGGGAAGGAAAAAUGUCCUUUUGAAGAUCAAUGCAAUUCUACAAUAUUGAAAAAAGAACUUUGCUCUGAGCACCAAAAGUGAUUGAUAUGCCUGAGGACCUGAGGUUUUACUCGCUUCAUCUUUUACAAGUGAUACUUGCUCAGGAUUCUUCAGAGUUGGCCCUUCCACACCAAGAAUACAGUUUCUUCCUCACUGCCCUGUGGCAAACCGGAUUUGUUGAGUUAUAUUUGUUUUCUAAAUAACAUAUUUUGCACCUAAUUGUUGAAAAAUCUCAAAUGAUUCAAAUUUAAUUUUAAAUCCGGCAUCAAAUUUGUCCAAUAGCACAUACUAUGUUUAAUGUACAUACAAUUGGAUAUGCCCCAUGAUUAAUGGUUAAUUCAGCCAUAUGAUUCAAUAUAAGCCUGGUAUCCGGUAUUGGUGGUGGUGUAUCUUUACUCAGGAGCUGCAAAAGGGUUAUUGCAAUUUUUAUCAGAGUAGUUACUUUGAUGUGUACAAUUGGUGGCCUUUUGAUUUAAAUGUUCAACAUUCAAAAGGAAGUCUAAUGCAAUAUUCUGAGCAGAUUCCAACCUGAACCCUUGAGCCAUUUCAGUAUUUCCUCAUUAACUGUCUCUUCCUAUUCUCACUCACUCUCCUUCUCUUGCUGUUUUUCUUUUGUCAGCAUGCACAUUAAAACCAGCCCCUGGUUUAUCCAAUAAAAUAAAUUAGACCUAAAUGGUGGUAAAGUAGCUCUUGCCAACCCUUUAUAUAGAAAUCCCAGGAUACACACACAAACAUCUAAUCUAAAUACUGUAGUCAUGCUACAACUACAACAAGCUGCAACACUUUACGCUAGACUGGAGCUGCUAUAUGAAGAAUUUAUGUGCGCAGGCUUAACCAGUCAGUCAUUCAAUAUUCUUUGAUUUUUGCCUUUCAAAUGAUUAUGUCCAAAUGUUCUCUGUACAAUGUGUUAAUAAAAUUAUUAUUAUUAUUAUAAAUUAAGAUAGUUUAAUAACUGCUCACAAUCCCUUAACAAAGUGCUCUGAAAUAGGUCUGGGUGGUGACUAUGUUUGCCUUACUUAAAGGCAUUUUUUCCUUGGUCAGUUGAAGUAUCUCAAUCCGUAGUUUUUUUCAGACUUGGGAAUCUGAUUUUGCCACAAUAGUCAUACUUACCCAGGUGAUAAAUAAUUUACAAUUAAUGUCUUUAUCAAUAGAUCUCUGCCCCUCAUAUUUAUAAAGGCAGAGCGGAGAGUGCGGGUCGGGAUGUAGGGUUUGACCAUGUCCUGGAUGUAAGCUGGACCCGAUCCAUUCACAGCAUGGUAGUUGAGCACCAAUGUUUUGAACUGGAUGCGGGCAGCCACCGGUAGCCAGUGAAGAGAGCGGAGGAGUGGAGUAGUGUGGGAGAAUUUCGGAAGGUUAAAGACCAGUCGAGCUGCUGCAUUCUGGAUGAGCUGCAGAGGUCGAAUGGCGGUAGCAGGGAGACCUGCCAGGAGCGAGUUGCAGUAGUCCAGGCGUGAGAUGACAAGAGCCUGAAUCAGUACCUGGGCAGCCUUCUAAGUGAGAAGAGGACGUAUUCUCCUGAUGUUGUAGAGAGUGUAUCUACAGGAUUGUGUUGUCGCAGUAAUGUUGGGAGUCAGGGAGAGUUGGCUGUCGAUUGUGACGCUGAGGUUCCUAGCGGUUAAAGUGGGCGUUAACACAGAGUUGCCAAAGUUGACAGUCAAGUCCUGGGUUGGAGAGUCAUUUCCUGGAAAGAGAAGUAGUUCAGUCUUGUCGGGGUAGAUUUUCAGAUGGUGGGCGGACAUCCACUGAGAGAUGUCAUUUAGACAGGCAGCGAUCCGUGCCGCCACCUGAGUGUCCGAGUGAGGGAAGGAGAGAAUUAGUUGUGUGUCAUCGGCAUAGCUGUGGUAGGAGAAGCCAUGCGAGCAAAUGACAGCGUUGAGAGAGUUGGUGUAGAGCGAGAAGAGGAGGGGACCCAGGACGGAACCCAUAGGAACUCCCGUAGUAAGAGGACAAGGUUCCGACACAGAUCCUCGCCAGGUUACCCGGUAUGUGCGGCCGUCGAGGUAGGACGAGAGAAGGCAGAGAGCAGAGCCUGAGACACCAAGUUCCUGAAGGGAGGAAAUAAGGAUCAGGUGGUUGACUGUGUCAAAUGCAGCAGAGAGGUCCAGAAGGGUGAGGACAGAGGAGAGAGAGGUGGCUCUAGCAGUGUGGAACUCCACACUGGUUUUA